rnacentral:rRNA from 1 species
GACGAACGCUGGCGGCGUGCCUAAUACAUGCAAGUCGAGCGGAAUGAUGAAGAAGCUUGCUUCUUCUGAUUUUAGCGGCGGACGGGUGAGUAACACGUGGGCAACCUACCUUGUAGAUUGGGAUAACUCCGGGAAACCGGGGCUAAUACCGAAUAAUCCAUUUUGCUUCAUGGCGAGAUGUUGAAAGACGGUUUCGGCUGUCACUAUAAGAUGGGCCCGCGGCGCAUUAGCUAGUUGGUAGGGUAAUGGCCUACCAAGGCGACGAUGCGUAGCCGACCUGAGAGGGUGAUCGGCCACACUGGGACUGAGACACGGCCCAGACUCCUACGGGAGGCAGCAGUAGGGAAUCUUCCACAAUGGACGAAAGUCUGAUGGAGCAACGCCGCGUGAGUGAAGAAGGUUUUCGGAUCGUAAAACUCUGUUGUAAGGGAAGAACACGUACGAGAGUAACUGCUCGUACCUUGCCGGUACCUUAUUAGAAAGCCACGGCUAACUACGUG